rnacentral:misc_RNA from 1 species
UAUUGGUAUCUUUUACUUCGCUUUUUGUGUUGCAUGGUUCAGUUUUUUGGUGGUAGCUGUUAUAAUGUUCUGAUUUCAUUGUAAAAAGUUCUUAUGGUUGCUCUGAAAGAACCAAGACACUUUAGAUACUUUUGUUUUCUUUAUUUCUUCACUAUUUUAAAAAAAUAUUGCUUAAAGUGAUGGAUCUUUAAGCAUGGUUUGAACCAUGUAACUGGUUGCAACUUGGAUGAAAUUUGAAUUUUCAGCAAACUGGGUUGAGAAUCAUUUUUAUUUUUGCAUGCUUCAACUCUAUUUGGUUUCUUAAUAAUUGCUAUUUUAUAAGUGUAUAUCCGUUCACAGA